rnacentral:rRNA from 1 species
GGAUGCGAUCAUACCAGCACUAAAGCACCGGAUCCCAUCAGAACUUCGAAGUUAAGCGUGCUUGGGCGAGAGUAGUACUAGGAUGGGUGAAUCCUCGUGUUGCAUUCC